UCACAGGCUGAGCCACCCAGGGGCCCCUCCAGCAAGCAUGAGGCGAAGUGCUCGCUUCUGAAUUUAUUCCCGCUGUCCAGGAAGAGGCCUUCACUGAACUUGAUCUGCCCCAGGGAGGGGGAGGGUUGCUAACCUCUGAAGAUUUUUCUCUGCCUUCUCUGUGGAAAUCUGCCCCAGGCAACAACCCUGCUGCUGCUUCCAAGGCAAAUGGGAGGAGAAACCUUGCCAAGUUUGGAGGGACCGCCUCAGAAAGGCAGGUUGGGGCGCCCUGGGCCCCUGAGAGCACCUGAGGAUGUGGGUUCUGCCGACAGGUGGACUUCUAAGUCCCAGAAAGGUGAGAGGUGGGCUGCUCCCACACAAAGCAGGGGGGGCUGAAAGCCGGGGGGAGGGCACCGAGUGUCCCUGCCCUCAGCAUCACGGUCCUGCGUCGCGUGCAGGGCUCUGACAUCUUCUCUUUGUGAGGCAGAAACUCCCUGGGAAGCCAGCUUUCUCGCUGAAUGCGGAUAGUUCCAGAGAACCUGACUCCAUGUGGCCUGUCCUCCUUCCCUAGCCCCAAGCAGGUGGCCCAAGCCUGGUCUUUCCAUGAGGCAGAAGUGCUAAAGGGCAGGGGAAAACCUGGGAAGAUUCCAGAAGAAGAGAAAGUUCUGGAAAGUGAGCCCCAUUGAGUCCUGGUCCCAGGGCGAUGGGUCCUGAGCCCUAACCCCUGAAUUACAGAAUCAGCCCUCCACCACAUUUUCCUCUGGGGGCUGUGCCCCAGGAGGGGAGCCAAGGUCUCAGUUCCCCAAAUGCACCCCCGCCCACCAGCCCUCAAAGCUCCUGCAUCACCCAGCCAUCCAGGGAACCUUCCAUGGGCUGCGCUCCACAGACUGUUCUCACCAGAAUCCCUGUGGUCUCAUCUGGAAUCUCCUAUGGCCUGACCUGCCUUCCCCACCCCACCCCCCAUCACCAGUGAGACUUGGGCCAAGCGUGACCUUGAGCGCCUUUCCCCAGCCAUUUUCCUGCAAGAGAGGAUUCCCUCUUCCCCUUCCACUAGGGCCCAAGGUCCCGCAUGCCAGGGGCGGGGAGUCAGCUCUGAGCACUUCCGGACCCUGGACUCUGGAAUUCGCAUGGAGUUCAUUUGUGUGGUAGCUCAAGGUUGCUCACGUCCAUGUUAACAGGGUUCCACUUCCUAAUUUUGAAGGGCACCAUACUCUACAGUGCAGCAUUUACAGUGUGCUACCGGUCAAAGCUUCUAGCCCUCUUAUUCUUUUUUUUUUUUUAUGCUUUAUUUUAUAUUUGAAAGAGAGAGAGUGCCCGCGCAAG